GUCGGAUCUGACGCUUUCACAGGAAGUUUGCGCAGGUACGAACAAAUUCACCUUUGGACUCAGUCAGCGCGUGGCGUUCAGGUGCAGAGUUAAAAGGUCUUUGACACUUGGACAGUGUCGGCCUCUACCCCCUGCAGGAUGCAAGGGAAGUUUCCCCUCAUAAAACCUCUCUGCUGAGGCUUGUUCCCUCUGUGAUUUAUACCCCUAGAUCAGCUGUGCCAGUGCCACAUUUGUGCAGCUGUUCCCAGAUGUUUACACUCACAGUGGAUAGGUGACUGCGAGUGAAAGCCCAUCAUCUGUGUUGGUCCUCAAGUGUAUCCUGACUGAACAUUUAUGCAUUUAUAGAUGAGCAGAGAGCACAGACGGUCUAGGGGUAAGUUACCAAAGUCACGACCUUGCCCUGACCUGGGUUAAGGAAGUGGUCAUGCAGCUCUGGACAAAGCUGUGGAGGAGAGAGACUGAGAGGCCAGGCGGUCGUGCCUGAACAAUAGCCGCCGCACAUUCAGCCUGGGAGUUACACAAAGGCCAGAGCUGCCCCCUUCACCCUAGUCACACCUCACCAUAGAGCUGGCAUUUCACACUCCUCUGUGAACAGCCAUUCAAUCAAACUACUGUUUAACUUGUUUUUUGGGCCUUGUUUUUUUAAAAUUGCGACAUCAUCUGUGUUGGACCCUGGUGCAUACUGCUCUGUAUUUUCUCAGUUAGCUUGUAGGUUUUGAAAAACUGUUUCUUGGUUGAAAUGUUUUGAUUAAGAUAAAAGUAGUAUUUGAUUCAAAUUUAAGUAUUCAAAUCUAGUCAAGAAAAGCCAAUAACAUAACAGUAACCAUGACAUUUUAUAUUAUGUUUAGUGUGAAUGUGUUCAGUGUGGUUGAUUAGUACACUACUGUUCAAAAGUUUGGGGUCAGUAAGAUUUUUUUUUUUUUAAAUUAUGUUUUUGAAAAAAGUCUCUUAUGCUCACCAAAGCAUUUAGUUGAUGAAAAAUACAGUAAAAAUAGGAAUAUUUAUAUUAUAAUUAGAAUUGAUUAUUUACUUUUUUUGUAUCUGAAUAUAUUUUAAAAUGUAAUUUAUUCCUGUAAUGGCAAAUUUGAAUACAUUUUAAAAUGUAAUUUAUUAAAGCUUAUUUUUCAGCAUCAUUACUCCAGUCUUCAGUGUCACGUGAUCCUUCAUAAAUUCUAAUUCGUUGAUUUGGUGCUCAAUAAACAUUUCUUAUUAUUAUCAAUGUUGAAAAAAGUUUUUUUUUUUUUGUGGAAACUGAUCCAUUUUUUUCAUGAAAUUGUUUAUAAAUAAAAAUAUUUGCAACAUUUUACUGUCUUUACUGUUUGUCUUUACUCUCACUUGAUCAAUUUAUUGCAUCCUUGCUGAAUAAAAGCGUUAUCAUUAUUUUCUCCUAAACAUCUUACUGACCCUAAACUUUUGAACAGUAGUGUAUGGUCAGAAUUAGACACUUACAAAAUAGUACCAAAAAGUACUGUUACAGUGUGGUCUUGAAAGUACCAUGUUGUACCAAAAAUUUGAGUAUUACAAAGUACCAUAGUAUUACCAUGUGAUACAAAAAAGAAAAUAUGAUAAAAAAAAAAGUGGUUGAUUUAUCUGAAUCAGUACCAGGCACUGCAUGCAUAAGUCCCAUUAGGACCUCAGAUAGCCCCAUAUAACCAGGUCCUGGCAUGAGCAGAAGAUGCUCGUAGUUUCAUGGGGCCGACUGCUCCGUAGGGAGUCGGAGGCCCUAAAAGAUUCUUUGUCUGAGUCGAGUGCCCUACGGCAAGACCUAAGAGGAGGACUCUACAAGCCCCCCCUCCUUGUUACUCAAUGGACUACUCCACCCCAUUACCUGUCCCGGCUCUGGAUCAAGGUGUGGGGGCUGCAUAUCAAACAGUCUCGGACCUUUGAUGUUCAGAGAAACACAAACACUGAU